AGAAAAAAAAAUAACGUCAAAAGUAAAUGUCAAAAAAGUAUGGACACGAUAGGGUCGUAGUUUUGGCGCCGCUGGUUAGUCCGUUCGAGUUCGACGACGUGCGGAAGAGUUCGCGAGUAGGUGACGGGGGCCCGAAGGCCCCUCAUCCACACCGUCUGCCCACGUAAAGUAACCGUGCGCUCUUAAAACCUGUAGUGGACGUGCCGUUGGCCUCGGCCAUUAAAACCACCGACAACACAGCGGACCCAGUUAAAAAUGGUCGCCCCAUCAUGCUAGAGUCUCUGCAGAUGUUCCUCUUUCUAUUCAAGUCUAAGUAUCGACGGAAAUGUCCGGACGCGAGCGCCGUCGUUUUUUGCUCCUUUGUGCUGGUGUUGGGGGCCGCAUGUUCGCUCGUAGCCGCCAAGUGUCAAGACAACGGCGAUUGCGGACCUCACGGAAAGUGCGUCAAUGACACCUGCGUAUGCUCGGAAGGAUGGCAAGGAAGUAAUUGCCAGUUUUGUGCUGGAAAAAUACGUUUGGCAAGUCCAACCGGUACAAUUCACGACGGUUUGGGUAAUUAUUCAAUCGGCCUGAAAUGUUCCUGGUUAAUAGAUGCACCAAACUCAACGAUAACUUUUCAUCUGGAAGAGUUUGCGACGGAAUGCGGGUGGGAUCAUUUGUACAUCUUCGACGGAGACAGUGUCGAGUCGCCUUUACUUGCUGUAUUCAGCGGUUUAAUGUACCGACACGAUUACAGUAUUCGCAAAGUACCCGAAGUUGUGGCCACUUCCGGUUCGGCUCUUGUCCAUUUUUUCAGUGACGACGCUUACAACAUGUCUGGUUUUAAUAUGACGUAUCGUUUAAACGCUUGUCCUUCGAAAGUUUCGGGAAUGGUUUGUUCUGGGAAUGGGAUCUGCAUCGAUAAGGUAUGCACGUGCGAUGGGAAAUGGGGUGGGAGUGCUUGUCAUAUCGAGAAAUGUCCAAAUAGUUGUAAUAGUCAUCUCGGGAGAGGGUAUUGCGAACAUAUGGGUUGCGUUUGUAAUAAUGGGUAUAAAGGAGAUGAUUGUGGUCAAUUGGCUGAUAACGGUUAUUGGGAAGCGAUUCAACCGUCUGGAUUUGUUCCGCCCGGAUCUGCGUCGCAUGGAGCUGCCGUUUGGAGAGAUUCUCUGUAUAUAAUUGCUGGGCAAAGGUAUGAUAUUAACAGUACCAGUAUUAUCUAUACGUAUGAUUUUAAUGGAAACGUUUGGGAAACGCAUCAUUAUAAUGAAGGUCCGUCUUUACGUUAUGCUCAUUCUACAGUAUUAUAUGGUGACAAGAUUUUUAUUUAUGGCGGUGUAGUUGGAAACCGAGGACCAACAGCGGAAUUAUGGGCUUUUGAUAUUAAUGCUAAAGCUUGGGAAAACGUUACAGUUAAAUCUGGUCCUUGCAACGCAAGUUAUUUACUUUGUGGUCCUUUAGAACUAUCCGGGCACACAGCUACAAUAGUCACGAAUAGUAAUAAAAAAUCUGAUCGAAUGAUUGUAAUUUUUGGGUAUUCACCUCGUUAUGGCUAUUUGAACAACGUUCAAGAAUACUAUUUUGGUACUAGAGAGUGGCAUAAUGUAAAUACAGAUGGUUAUCCUGUUAAAGGGGGAUAUGGUCACACCGCCACUUACGAUAGUUACAGCAUGAUGAUUUACGUUUAUGGUGGAUAUAUUUCAUCUGAAAAUCAAAACUCAAUGUUGAGUAAAGCUUUGUAUUCGUAUGAACCGAUUAGCAGAAUUUGGCGAUUAUUAAACGAAGGUCCUUCCGUAAGAUUCUUGCAUACAGCAACGUUUAUUUCACCGGGAUUGAUGUUGAUUUUUGGCGGAAAUACUCACAAUGAUACUGCUCAUAGUUUCAGAGCGAAAUGUUAUAGCUCGGAAUUACUUGCUUACGAAGUCGCGUGCGAUUCGUGGCACACAUUAAGCAUUCCUAUAGAAUUAAGUGCUGAUUUAUCGAGGUAUGGACAUUCGGCAGUAAUUUUUGAAAAUUCUCUUUAUAUUUAUGGCGGAUUUGACGGACAGAUGCUUUCGGAUAUUUUAAAAUACACAGCCGGAAAUUGUAGCGCACUAAAAAACCAAACAGCAUGUUUAAGUCAAAAACCGGGCGUUAGUUGUGCAUGGGACAAUAGUAACUCAAAGUGCAUCCCAAUAAACGAUAGAUCAAUCAAAUGGUACGAACUUCAAGACGCUCGAACAGAACCGGGGUGUACAAUGUGUAAAUGUCCGAUAUCAAGUCGAACUGACAUCACACAAAGUAUUCUAAAUAAAAAACAAAAGUGUAAUGGGAUUCAAGAUUGUACCUCUUGCGUCCAAACAAGUUACGAUUGCGUUUGGUGCAAUGGAAAUUGUACGCACAGUACUGAUUGUAAAGAAAGUCUUUUGGGGAUUGUGGAGAUGAAAUCGUGCUUGCCAGAUCCAGCGCCUCUUUGCAACCAACUCCAUACAUGCACAUCAUGCGGCCUUAAUUCGUUUUGUAACUGGGAAUUUGAAGGAAAAGUUAGAUGCGGUAAUGCUCAAGUUCCCAGUGAGCGAACAACAUGCGCUAAAGUAUGCUCGGAGUAUACAUCCUGUUUAAAUUGUACCGAAGAAGAAUGUAUAUGGUGCCAAAACGAAGGAAGAUGUAUCGAUAAAAACGCUUACAUCUCCAGUUAUCCAUACGGACAAUGCCGAGAAUGGACAACAAAAACCACCACCUGUCGUAGUGGUGGAAAGGAAGAGAAAUCCCAGUGUAGUUCUUAUUUAACGUGCGGACAGUGUAGGGACGAACCAGCAUGCGGUUGGUGCGAUGACGGAUCAAAAACCGGUCUGGGAAAAUGUAUGCCCGGUGGAUAUGCAGGGCCAACACUUCACACCCAAUCCUUACCAUCGAAUACAUGUCCAUCGGAUCGUUGGCAUUUCACUACUUGCCCUUUAUGUCAAUGCAACGGCCACGCAAGCUGCCGGGGAAAUACUAGCGUUUGCCAAUCGUGCAGCGACUUAACAACUGGACCACAUUGCGAAAAAUGUGUUCCAGGUUAUUGGGGAAGUCCCGUAAAUGGCGGGAAAUGUCAACCUUGCGAAUGCAACGGACAUGCCACACAAUGUCAUUCAGAUACUGGGAAAUGUUUUUGUACUACUAAAGGUUUAAUUGGGGAUCAUUGUGAAAAGUGUGAUCAAGCAAAUCAUUAUACUGGAGAUCCAUCUAAUAAGGGAUCCUGUUUUUAUGCCCUGGCGAUUGAUUAUCAGUUUACCUUCAACCUUUCCAAGAAGGAAGACCGUCACUAUACCCAAAUCAACUUCCAAAAUUCACCGAACAAACCCGAUAUAGACGCUGAAUUUAUGAUAGCGUGUUCCGUCAUGGCUAAAAUGAACGUAACGGUGCGAAAAGCCAACUCAAAAGAGGAAAAAGCAAUAUACACGGCUCAUAACUGUACUAAUAAUUUUAAAACUAGGUUUCUAAAGUCUGAGUAUAAUUUCGGCGAAGAGAACAAUGUUUCCUUAACGACUUUUUACGUAUACGUUUAUGACUUCCAAUCACCACUUUGGAUACAAAUAUCAUUCUCUCAAUAUCUUAAACUCAACAUUCAACAGUUCUUCAUUACAUUUUCAUCAUGUUUCUUAGCGUUGCUCUUGGUAGCAGCAUUUUUAUGGAAAAUUAAACAACGUUACGACAUGUAUCGUCGUCGUCAAAGACUCUUCGUUGAAAUGGAACAAAUGGCUUCCAGACCGUUUUCUCAAGUGCUGGUUGAAUUGGAGGGUAAGGAACGAAUCGAUGAGAAUACAAUAUCAACAGUCACUGAUUCGAAGAAGAAAAAACGCGAUUCUCCAAGUCCGAUUGCUUUGGAACCGUGCAAUGGAAAUCGGGCCGCUGUUUUAAGCCUUCUCGUUCGUUUACCAACGGGUGGGGAACCAUAUGUGGUAAAAGGUCAAUCGGCUGGCUUGGCAAUAGCCAGCGCAUUGGUAACUUUGGGUAAUCCCAGAAGAGUCAGUAUAGACCAAGUGAAGACGGACACGAAGUGUUUAAAAGGUCGGAAGGCCCAAAGCCAACACCCGGACAGUUGUCUUUAGUGUAAAUAGAUAGUUGUUCGUCCAAAAAAUACCAAGAAAAUUUAGAGGUUUUUAAUUUUGAAACAUUUGUGUGGUUAUGAAACGUAAAAGACAAAACUUAGGGUGAGUAAAUGGUGCACAUGACCGAAACAGAGUAAGUAGUUUUUAAGGUUAUAUUUUUAUAGGAGAUUUGAACAAAGAGGCGUUUUUUAAUUUUUUUUUAGUUUAAAAUAGGGGAGAUUUUUAUUUUAUGUUUUAAGGUAACAAAACGGGGGAAGUUGGUGUAAAAUUUGAUUUUUUUUUUUUCCAAAGUAAUUACAUUUUUCUUCCAAUCUCUUGACAUCAUUAAUUAUGAUUAAUUUUUUUAUUUUUAUUUGGCAUCAAAUUUUAUACCAAAGACACACAUUUCCUCUAAAACAUGAGAUUUUCUCUAACAGUUUUUUUAUUUUUAUAUUUCUUUUAAAGCCUUUUCAUUUUUUUUUAUUGAGUGUUUUUGUGAAUGUAGAUUUUCGAAAAUGUGAUAUUAUAUAUUCCAUAUUUAGGUUUUCUUUAAUUGAGAAUAAAAGAGAUUAUGUAUAAUUAUAAACAGUGGACUGUUUUAAAAUAUUGUUUAACGUGAUUCUUAUUGCUUGCUCACUGAUUUUUUAACCUUGUUUUCCUUAAGACUAUUAUAUUCUUAAUAUCCAAUUUAAUUAAAUAAAGUGACAAUUUUUCUUUUAGGUUUAAUGUUAAAUCAUUAUUAUUACUAUUAUUAUAUUGUACGAUGUAAUAUUAUACUAUAGCUUAUCAUAAUUAACUAAAACUGAUAUUUUGUUAACGCAAAAAUUACAGCAAAGAACAUAAUUUUUAAACAGAUGUAGAUGGUUAACUGAAUUAAGUUUGUGGUUAUAAACAUUAGGCUUAAUUUCAUUUUUAUAAAGAUAAAGAUUCUGAUAUUUUGUACCCACAAGUUAAAUUCAAUUAAUUAACUAUAAAUAUAGUGACCCAUUCAUUUAUGUGAAUUUAUUCAGCUCAAUGUAAUUGAGACUUAAUAAUACCUAAAAUCAUGUUAAUUACAUUUUAUUGUUUGACGAUGGUGAAAAUAAUUAAACUAGUAAAUGAAGGGAUUAACAAAUAAUUCAUUUUGUAUGGUAGAAAUCGCUUUUAGUUACUAUAUUUGAUAGAUUCAGAGUUAAUCCUCAAAUGAUGAAGAUAUAAGCGAUUUCUUCUGUAUAUUAUUUGAGCUUGAAUAAGUAAUAAAAAAAUGAUCAAAUUCUACUAUCUAUGUAUGUAUGUAUAAAGUUUUAAGUCGUCCAAACUUUUUUUAUUUUUUUAUAUCUAUGCCUGUAGCGAACAAAAUAUAGCAUAUUGUGUGUUUACGUCUUAGAGAGAGACUGAUAUUUAUUACGAUAGGUUUUUGUCGUUUUAUUUUUAAUUUCUAUUUUCGUACAUUGUUAAAAAGAAAGAUUUUCAAUUGGUAAUUGGGUUUUAACUUUCCUCUUCUUUUCCAUCCUAGUCCUUCUAACUUAAGAAUCACCAGUGCGUUUAUAUAUUUCUAUGAUCUCAUGUCCAUAGUUUGUUUUAUCUUUCGUACUAAACCAUCUAAAGCGUAAUUAUUCCAUGAUAUAUUUUACAUUGCAGGAUAUAUGAUAAAUAAAAUUUGAUUCCAUUUUCGUACUGCCUGUACCUUUGUAUUGGUUCUUUUUGUAAAUAUAUUAUCUAAUAUUUUAAAAUGUGA
rnacentral:misc_RNA from 1 species